CUGGGAGCCCAGCGCCGGAGACUGAGGGCAGAGCUCUCAGAUCAGGGUACCACCCACUGAGACCCCCACCAGCAUUAGAGCAGUGGAGAAACAGAGGUCCCUAUACCACCACAGCUAAAUAUUUAAAAGUUAUGGAUUAAGUUGUUAAGGUGUGUUCUGUUCUCACCCUGAUUAUUAUACUUUCCAUACCAGUGGAACAGAAAAGCUGAGGUUUUUAUGUGACCAAAAGUCAGCAAAAUGUCGGUGACAAUUUAAUCAUCGUUAUAUUGGUCUCACUGUGCGAUAGUUUGGUAAUGUCUGGAUCCUAAUAUAGGGACAAUUCAUAUACCAUUCUUAUGUUUAUUCAUGUUUUUCUAUAAGUUUAUGUUUCUCUCCUUUAGCAAGAUCACUAAAUAUACCAUUACUUUAUAAAGAUUUCAUUCUUAAUUCCAAAUCAGACCACCUUUCCUGAAUCAUUGUAGUUCUUAGAGUGUAGUUCACUAAGUUCAAUUUGGAGAAACUUCGCAUUAAGCAGAAACUUUGCUUAAGCAUUUACAAAGGAAUUGCUUUUAAAAAAUAAGGCAAUACUCAGGUUUAAAAAUAGCCCAUACAUUUUAAAUAUCAUUCCUAUAGUAUAAUGAGAUCAAUAAGAUAAAUGAUCACAGAAAUGUUGCAACAUAACUUAAAUUCAUUAUACACAUUGUUUUCACUUAGAGUAUUUCUAACAUUCAUGUAUACAAAUGCAAGAGCAAUAUGUAUUGCUACCAUUCCUUCACUGUUUUGUUGUUGUUGUUUGUUGUUUGUUUUUGGUUUUGUUGUUGUUUUGUUGAGACAGAGUCUCACUAUGAUGCCUAGGAUGGCUUUGGACUCAAGCAAUCCUCCUGCCUCAGCUGCCAGAGUGGCUGGGACCAGAGUGGCCCACACCAGUUCCUCAAGCCCACUGUCCUAUGCAACUGUUGCAAAACCAUGCUAAUUCUUGAGUACAUCUGGAACCACAAAUUGGAACACCAAAAGAAGCAAGAAAAUGAAUGCUUCUCAUGGUUGAGAAAUAAUACUUUGCAUUACAGAACUCAUUUUGUUUAUGCUGAGAAGAGGGAUUUCAUAAAUUG
rnacentral:lncRNA from 1 species